CCGCCUUGCCUUCCCUCACUUCCAGAGGGUGGCGCAAGGUUCUGCAGGCCACCCCUGUCUCCAGCGAGGGUAAAGGAGGCCGCGGGGCGAAGUAGGUGACAAGUUAUAACUGAGCGCAAACACUAGUCGCGAGCCCAGAUCCUUUUGCACGCAUUCACACGACCCCUGCUGCCUCUGGAGAGGCACGCCAGACAGUCUCUGGCGAGAGGCAGUAGAUGGGAGCGGAAAAGUGGCGGUGUUUGACUCUUGCUGCUUGCCGUAGAAAAUGGAUUGCCAGAAAUCAAGGAGCCGACUUGCCCAUUGCCCAAACUUCCAAACCGCUCCACCCCCUACUCCACCCCCGCGGCCUAGAACCGCAGCCACCCUAGGGAGUUACACUGAGAUGGACGCUGCUGUCACGGCUGCCGUGGGAGCUGAAGGAAGUUGGAUUUUUCCUCCCACCCCACAGCAUUUGUGAAACGUGCCGCUGCAGAAGGUCUCUUCUGGUUCCAGAUGAAUUUUAGGAGUGAUUUCUCUAGAUCUAUAAGAAUAUCACUGUGAAAGUUUUAAGUCCUGGGCCUCUGGUAAUAAAAUACAACAGAACAACACAAAACAAAGCCAAUGGAGACGAUGCAGUGAUACUGGUACAGAAUUUCACAGCAGGAUACUGGGAUAACACUAAUAGUUUCUUGUUUUAUUGCUGAAAUUCAACUUGAAUUUUUGAACUGAAGCAAUUCUACUGACAGCCCCCCAAGUAGCUAGGACUACUGUUGAGCCACCAUGCUGGGCAGAAUUUUUUUCAGAACUUUCAGUCCAUGUUCAUAGGCUUACACACAGAAACUACAUGGUGGAAGGGCCCAGGUCAAGAAAAGUUGUUCACAUCAUGAGAACCAGGAAGCAGAGCAAAGGGAGGAGCCAAAAAGGGAGAUAUACCCCUCCAGGCCAUGUCUCUAGUGACCAGCCUCUUCCAACCAGGCUGUACCUGCUAACAGCAAGUCACAUAUUGCCUGUAUAAUUCAGUCACCUAUUAAAAGCCCCAACUAUGGACAGCGGCCCUUCCAGGGGGAGAGCCAGCAGCAGCUCCUGAGAUCCACACCAUGUUGGAACUUAGGACGCCAGCAAGCCAAGCAAGCACCUCCCCUGCCUGGUAAUGAGUGGCAGUGUGGCAGACUGCGGCCCUUCCAGGGGGAGAACCAGCAGUAGCUCCUGAGAUCCGCGCCAUUUUGGAACAUAGGACACUGGGAAGCCAAGCAAGCACCUCCCCUCCCUGGUAAUGAGUGGCAGUGUGGCAGACUGCGGCCCUUCCAGGGGGAGAACCAGCAGUAGCUCCUGAGAUCCGCGCCAUGUUGGAACAUAGGACACUGGGAAGCCAAGCAAGCACCUCCCCUCCCUGGUAAUGACUGGCAGUGUGGCAGACUGCAGCCCUUCCAGUGGGAGAACCAGCAGCAGCUCUUGAGAGCCAUGCCAUGUUGGAACCGAGAACCCUGGGAAGCAAAGAAGCACCUCCCCUCCCUGAUAAGCGGUGGUGGUCCAGCAGCCUGCGGCCCUUCCAGGGGGAAAACCAGCAGCAGCUCCUGAGAUCCACACCAUGUUGGAACUUAGGAUGCUGUGAAACCAAACAACCAGCCUGUCUCCCUGCUAAGCAAUAGUGAACCUACUGAUGCAUGGCCUAGAGUCAAACAUCCCACUUCCCCUAUCCUCCUUCUUCUGUCCCCCCAUCAUCAAAUGGGAACCAGAAAUCUGAGCAUCUCUUGGGAGGUUGACAUAGCAAAUAAGGGGGACUUCCUUCUACCAUCUCUUUGAAGGCAAAUAUUUUUAUUACUAUUUUGUUCUUUUCUGAUUAAUGGUACUGCUCUAUUCAAUAUUGUUUUGAUAAGUUCUAUAGUGUUCUAUAUUUUAUCUCAUUUUGAUAUAUGUGAUUGAAAGAACAACUAUUAUAAAAAUAAUAUAUUUAAUCUUUAUAAAAUAUAUUUAUUUUUAUAAAAUAUUUUAUCUUUAUAAAAUAUACUGUGAUACCUAUUACUGUUAUCCUGGUAACCUGCUGUGAAGUUCUGUACCAGUUUCACUGUAUGAUCUUAGUUGGCUUUAUUCUGUCUUGUUCUGUUGUAUACUUUCAAAAUAAAAUUAAAAAAAAAAAA